AUCUAGUUGGAAACAGUAUCGUAGCCAAUGAGGUUUAUCCGAGGCGCGAUUAUUGCUAAUUGGAAACAGAGAUAAUUAAACUAGUAACCUCAUAUAACUGCUAUGAAGAAAUAUAGGGUAAAAUUGAAGUAUGCAACAGGAA